GGCGAGUGCCGCCGGGCUCUGAACUGAGUGACCUCAGGAGGCGACACGCAAGCUUCUAAUACCGUUAGAACGGUCGAAUACCGCGUCUUGCAAGUCCCUUCCGACGUUAACGCCUGGAAGUGUCCGUGACUUUGGCUUUGUUUAAGGCAAUGGUUCAUCAGUUGGUGACUUUCAAUUGAUGGUCAAUUCUUGACGUUUUACAGUUCACAUACAUGUACACCAGCGAGCAGUAAAAUCAAGAUAUAUGUUCCGGAUUGCUUUUCUGUUGCUUUGAUAAAACUGACCAAAGCAGUUUGGAAGAGGAAAGUGUUUAUUGGGCUUAUCACCAUGGUUUCGGAAAGUCAUGGAAGGAACUCUAGCAGAAACCAUAGACUCACGCUGCCUCCUGGCUUGGGCUCAGCUGUCUUUCUUUUGCUCUGUUCCGCCUGUGUGAGGAAGGACAGGCCACAAGGGAUGGACCUUACCAAAUCAGUUAGCAAGCAAUCCCUCUUCCCAAGUGGCUACAGUAAAAACUAACGAGGACAAUAUAAAAUGCUGACAAUAAGCCAAGCACUAAUGAAAAACCUUUCCCAUAUGUAGAUCAUAUGGUAAUUCUGUAACUAGAUAAUAUUUCCUAUCAUCCUAUUAGUAAACAACAAACGACAACAAA
rnacentral:lncRNA from 1 species